UGGUCAGCGCGGCACGCACGCCAUCACACCACUACAAAGACUCCAGCAAUGAUAACGAAGCGGAAGUUGUUUGUCGCCGCGAUUGUUAUCACUAUGGUCGUUAUCGUGGUCAUGACGACCUGCACGAUCGACUGGAUCCCCAAUAAAUUGUGGCCCACAUGUGACAUGUCAACAGAUCCAUUUACACUUGUUCUUGCUUCAGGAAAUAUUGAAAUAAAUGUUUCUGAACUCAUGGAAAGGUGUCUUCAACAAGGG